rnacentral:rRNA from 1 species
GACGUAGGAUGCAAGCGUUGUCCGGAUUUAUUGGGCGUAAAGAGUUCGUAGGUGGUUUGUUAAGUCUGAUGUUAAAGACCGGGGCUCAACCUCGGGACUGCAUUGGAUACUGGCAGACUGGAGUAUGGUAGAGGUCAGUGGAAUUCCAAGUGUAGCGGUGAAAUGCGUAGAUAUUUGGAAGAACACCGGUGGCGUAAGCGACUGACUGGGCCAUAACUGACACUGAGGAACGAAAGCCAGGGGAGCGAAUGGG